rnacentral:rRNA from 1 species
GAUGAACGCUGGCGGCGUGCUUAACACAUGCCAGUCGAACGGAAAGGCCCAAGCUUGCUUGGGUACUCGAGUGGCGAACGGGUGAGUAACACGUGGGUGAUCUGCCCUGCACUUCGGGAUAAGCCUGGGAAACUGGGUCUAAUACCGGAUAGGACCUCAUUUUGGAUGGUGUGGUGGAAAGUUUUUCGGUGUGGGAUGAGCUCGCGGCCUAUCAGCUUGUUGGUGGGGUAAUGGCCUACCAAGGCGUCGACGGGUAGCCGGCCUGAGAGGGUGUACGGCCACAGUGGGACUGAGAUACGGCCCAGACUCCUACGGGAGGCAGCAGUGGGGAAUAUUGCACAAUGGGCGCAAGCCUGAUGCAGCGACGCCGCGUGGGGGAUGACGGCCUUCGGGUUGUAAACUCCUUUCGCUAGGGACGAAGCGUUUUUGUGACGGUACCUGGAGAAGAAGCACCGGCUAACUACGUG